rnacentral:lncRNA from 1 species
UUUCACCCAAAGAUGCGCAACUAAACUAUUACAAUGUUUAAUGGAGGACUUGGAAUUGCUUGGAAAUAAUUUUCCCAAGUCACACAAGUUUCAAAAAGGAAAAACAAUUAACAACAAAGGUUUCGUGAUACUAAGCCAAUAGUACAAGUAAAAGUGUUUGCAAAUAAACAACCAAGUGUGGCUGAUGUUUCAUAUUGCUGGAAUGCCAAAUUUUUUGGUAUGUUUUGCUACUGAAAAAAGGGCUGGAACAACAAUGUUCAAGUUCUCUUGGAGUCCAAGCUUGUGGCAACUUUAACAAGUCUUCCACUCCUUAAGAUGCUACCCCUUUGGAGAAACAAUCUAGAUAGUUAAAACUGCACCAUAAUGUCACAACAAGCCAAACAAACCAGUAAACACAGUUAGCACAAAACACGUUACUACAUCAGUUUUUCUUUCCAAACCAGGUUGCACUUUGGCAUUUUAGCAAACAGGUUGUGUACAAAAUUUCCAAACAAUGUAAAUCAAGAAAUUAAGGGCUGGAAAGGCAGGAUGGCACACAAAAGGAACAUAUGAUAUGCUUUAGAGUAGAUCAAUAAAACAAUUAAACGAAAACAAGCUGCAAUGGUGUCGAAAUCGAACUCAAUACAAAGUGGACAAAUCUGUUUGACAAAAUGCCCCAAAGGGAAACCAGAUUUGUGUCUAAAAAUUUCUGAUGUUGCUGAUGCAGAUUUGUUUAAAAUGGAUUGUACUGGUCUAGUUGAUUUUUAAAAAUGUGGUUAAUGAUAUUUUGAGGUAUAAUGCAAUAUUUGUGGUACCAAGUUAUUUCUACAAUCCAUACACAAUUGUGAAAUGCACAAAUCAAAUUCAAAACUUUUGCAGCAGCUGAUUUCUAGAGAAAAUAGGCUUAAAAUGGCUUAUUUGAGAGGCAUUUUUGUACAGAGAAAUUUAGACACCUAAUUUGAUGGUUGGAGCAACUUUGUAUCAAUAAUUUGAAGGUGUUCAAACAGUCAAACAGCCAAGAAACACACUAUAGCAGAAAUUGACUAGUUCACUUCCAAAUUAAAGCAAAUUUGAUGGUUUAGGAAGUGAUUUUGCACAUCGACUUAAAAUGGACCAAAUGAACAGUGCAUACAUGUUUCAAAUGGUAAAAUACAAUUACACAAAUGUUCACAAUGCACUGAAAUGAACAGAUUUGACAAAACACCUCUACUGUAGCCAAUUAUGCAACACUUUUUACACAAAAUUUGCACUAGAACAAGGGUGACAAUAGUAACUACAGUAGUCAAAAUGAAUUGCAGUGUACUCAAGGCUUAAAGGAUACUUCAAACAGGUUUAUAUUAUCAAAUGGAAUGUGUGCAAACUGUGAAACAAUGAAGACAAAGUCCAGUUCAAAAUUUCACUGGUUCACUUCCCAAAUUUGACAAAAGUUGGCUGUUUCAAAUGUGAAGUUGCACCAAACGCCGAAAAAUUACAAAUUCAACAGUUCACACAAGUUUGUACUGAGCAGAUACACUUAUACAAAUGUUCAAAUAGUACAAAUAGACACAAAUUUCCCAAAUGACAAUAGCAAUUGCUUAAAAUGUAUAAAAAUAAAGUUAAAUUACAGUAGAAUGAAAAUUUCAGUAGAGUCAAUGUUGGCUAGUUCAAUCAAAUGCAGAGGAAUUAUCCUAAUCAACUAGAUCUAGUUGCAGAUGAUCAACUAGGAGAUAUUAAGUGACCUCAGAUUCAACAAUGACAAAAGCACGGUGCAAAACUUGUGGACAACGUUUGACAAUUUCUGAAAACUUGAAAGUAAUCAACUCAAUCAUUCAUUUGGCAAAUUUGUGAUUCAUAUGAGUUAUGAUACUUCUAGCAAUGCUUAACAACACUAAAGAAACUUGUUCAAAGCUUUAAAAUCCAGAAAUCUGAACAGAAACAGAUUAUAGCAAAUCAAACUAGAAAAUGAUUAUUCUGCAAAAUUUGGAUUGGAAAAAUCAAUGUGCACUGGUGUAAGCUCAAAUGAUCAAAGUUGGACAUGAUGUCAUUGCUUAUACGAUCAACAUAUAGCUUGCAACAAACUGGACACACUUAAAAACUGAAAAAUUAAAGUUGGAGUGGAUUGAAACCAGUGAAACACGACAAUCACUUGCACAUGAUCGAACAAAAUUGGAAAAUGAAAAUUAAAAGCUUAAAUGACGAAAACCAAUGAACUGCACCGAUUAAAAUAAUAAAGAAACAGUAAGGAACAGUGAAAGAAAGCAAUUAUCCACUCAAACACAAAAUCAAACCAGGAAAUGUAAUGGAACAGUGAAAACAAUGAACAAAACAACACGAAAGAAAGAAAAAUUGAAAGAAAUAAUACUUAGCUCUUGAAGCAUGGUGUGGAUUCAACUGGCUCUAGAUGUCAAAUGAUGGAAGCGACCUCCACCUUCAAGAAUGGAGUGGCUCCUUGAUUCAGAAGUGGCAGCGGAAUGAAGAAUGGAUUGGAGAUGUUCUGUGAUUGCAAGGUGUUUGUGGUAAUGUGUGACUAUGUUUGGAUGUGGUGUGAAGUGAAGUUCUAACUCAGAAAGCUUUCCUAAGGGGAAAUGAGCUAGAGGGAGAGCAAGCUAAAGAGGCUCUAAGUUUGAACUCGAGAGAAUGGAUGGAUUUUGGCAGCAUUUCAUUAUCAUACUCAAGUUAUUUAUACAAGAGAUCAAGCUUCUUUUUUAUAGAUGGAGAAGAGUAAUGAGUCGUGUAGAGGAAGCUACGGGAAUGUGCAAAUACAUGUGUUGAAAAUGCAUAUCCCACGUGGAUUUCAAGCUCUAUGCCAAACACUUUUAUCACGUGUUUAAUGAGUUAAAUGCUGACUUUGAUAUGGCUAAGCGAAGAAGGGUUUUGGUUGGGCACCCUUCUUUUCCUUUGAUAUUUCAAGGCAUCUUUUCAUUCAUCUUUAGCAUUCUUGUUGAAUUCUGUGUGCCUUCCUUUGCUUGGCCAUCUUUGGCAAGGUUUUCCUCCUUUAUUUGGUGAUCUACAAAACAAAAUAAAUGUAUCUUAGGUAAAG